CCUACGGGAGGCAGCAGUGAGGAAUAUUGGUCAAUGGGCGAGAGCCUGAACCAGCAAAGUCGCGUGAAGGAUGAAGGCCCUACGGGUUGUAAACUUCUUUUGUAAGGGAGAAAAUGGGUCCCCGCGUGGGGUUAGCGAGAGUACCUGAAGAAAAAGCAUAGGCUAACUCCGAGCCAGCAGCCGCGGUAAUACGGAGGAGGCGAGCGUUAUCCGGAUUUAUUGGGUUUAAAGGUAGCGUAGAUGGGUUGUUAAGUCAGUUGUGAAAGCUUGCGGCUCAACCGUAAAAUUGCAAUUGAUACUGGCAGUCUUGAGUACAGUUGAGGUAGGCGGAAUUCGUGGUGUAGCGGUGAAAUGCGUAGAUAUUAGGAGGAACACCAGUGGCGAAGGCGGCUUACUGGACUGUAACUGACGCUGAGGCUCGAAAGCGUGGGGAGCAAACAGGAUUAGAUACCCCAGUAGUC
rnacentral:rRNA from 1 species